rnacentral:lncRNA from 11 species
UGAUUCUAGAGGCAGCUGUUGCAUAGGUUGCUUGUUGUGGGAAGGCACACAUCGCUACAGGAAGGCAAAAGAAUAAUCCUGCUCUUUCUUAGCUCAAGUUUUAUUGUAUUGUCUAUGCUAGACCUGCAGCUACAACCUGAUAUGAAAGCCUGUCUAGCCCAUCUUCACCAUCCUCUUGGUGCGAAAGCUGCUUGAAGAACUUCCAGCUAGGCAGACAAUGAAGAAGGAAAAAGGAGCCAGGCAGGUGAAAAAGAGCUUAUGCUCACUGAAGGUUGAUCUACCAACUACAGCUGUUCCUGGACUGGGAUAAUUUGAUCCAUGCUCUAACGUGUUUAGACCAUCACAAGCCUACACAUGAAUUCCUCAAAUGACAAUCCAAGAAGCUUGAGCUGCCAUGGAAACAGUAUAAUGCGUCUUGCACAGGGAGAGUUGUGUGCAGGCGAAAACCACAAGUGAAGGGGAGAGGUCUGGAAGGAAGACGAACCUUGUGGACUUUGGAUCCGCGCAAAGGGUGUGCUCGAAAAGUACCAGGCAGAAGGCAGGUGAGGACCUUUACAAAAAUUGAAGUAAGGGGGAGAACAGAAGAGAUACACAGAGGGCCAGGAAUGGGUGUAAUGAUGGGAGCCCUGCGAUUGCCCCAUACAAAGACUCACAUUUAUGUGGUCAUUGUAGCGAGCAAUAUGACAGGACUGGCGUCACUGGUAUGUAUUGGAAAUGAGGCAGGGCACUUGCUUUUCUCAACGCAAAUUCCCCCAUUCCAUUCCUCAUCCAUCUUCCACGCACCUUUGAUGGAGGCCUGGUUGGCAUACAACCCAUGACAGCUACUAUAACAUACCCCCACC